AACUUUCAACAACGGAUCUCUUGGUUCUGGCAACGAUGAAGAACGCAGCGAAAUGCGAUAAGUAAUGUGAAUUGCAGAAUUCAGUGAAUCAUCGAAUCUUUGAACGCACAUUGCGCCCCCUGGUAUUCCGGGGGGCACGCCUGUUCGAGCGCCAUUUCAACCCUCAAGCCCCGCUUGGUGAUGGGCCCUGCCUGCUGGCGGGCUCGAAACUCGUGGGCGCCGUCGUUCGGCUCCAAGCGUAGCAAAACCCUCGCUCGGACGCCCGGACGGUGGCCGCCAGGAACGAAUUCUUACAAGGUUGGCCUCGGAUCAGGUGGGGAUACCCGCUGAACUUAAGCAUAUCAAUAAGCGGAGGCU
rnacentral:misc_RNA from 1 species